rnacentral:lncRNA from 1 species
AAAAACAUGGAUUUCAAGUUUUGGAAAUAGUGUAUUUUGUACCGCAUUUUUGGACCGUUAAUUUUCAAGAUUUUCAAGUUUUCAUAGAUCUUUUGAUCUACACUAUUUUUGAAGCUUUAAAAUUUAUAAAUAAAGAUGAAAAUAUAUUUUAAGGUUAUCACAAAGAUUUCCAGUAUUGAAACCACAUUUCUCAACACUAUUUAUAGGUUAGCUCUAAUUUGAUUGUUUAGAGCCUAGGCUCUAUACAAACUGCGCCAUUAUGUAAAUGAGGGGAGUGAUGGAGAAGCGAUUGAUAAUUGUAAAGAAGAGUUACCCUCCAAAUUCGAGAUAAAAAA